CCUACGGGAGGCAGCAGUGGGGAAUAUUGCACAAUGGGGGAAACCCUGAUGCAGCGACGCCGCGUGAGUGAAGAAGUAUUUCGGUAUGUAAAGCCCUAUCAGCAGGGAAGAAAAUGAUGGUACCUGAUUAAGAAGCCCCGGCUAACUACGUGCCAGCAGCCGCGGUAAUACGUAGGGGGCAAGCGUUAUCCGGAUUUACUGGGUGUAAAGGGAGCGUAGACGGCAGCACAAGUCUGGAGUGAAAUGCCGGGGCUUAACCCCGGAACUGCUUUGGAAACUGUGCAGCUAGAGUGCAGGAGAGGUAGGUGGAAUGCCUGGUGUAGCGGUGAAAUGCGUAGAUAUUGGGAGGAACGCCAGUGGCGAAGGCAGCUUGCUGGACUGUAACUGACGUUGAGGCUCGAAAGCGUGGGGAGCGAACAGGAUUAGAUACCCUUGUAGUC
rnacentral:rRNA from 1 species